UGAUGAAGGCCUUAGGGUUGUAAAGCUCUUUCAACGGUGAAGAUAAUGACGGUAACCGUAGAAGAAGCCCCGGCUAACUUCGUGCCAGCAGCCGCGGUAAUACGAAGGGGGCUAGCGUUGUUCGGAAUUACUGGGCGUAAAGCGCACGUAGGCGGAUACUUAAGUCAGGGGUGAAAUCCCGGGGCUCAACCCCGGAACUGCCUUUGAUACUGGGUAUCUCGAGUCCGGAAGAGGUGAGUGGAAUUCCGAGUGUAGAGGUGAAAUUCGUAGAUAUUCGGAGGAACACCAGUGGCGAAGGCGGCUCACUGGUCCGUGUACUGACGCUGAGGUGCGAAAGCGUGGGGAGCAAACAGGAUUAGAUACCCAU
rnacentral:rRNA from 1 species